rnacentral:rRNA from 1 species
GACGAACGCUGGCGGCGUGCUUAACACAUGCAAGUCGAACGGAAAGGCCCUGCUUUUGUGGGUUGCUCGAGUGGCGAACGGGUGAGUAACACGUGAGUAACCUGCCCUUGACUUUGGGAUAACUUCAGGAAACUGGGGCUCAUACCGGAUAGGAGCUCCUGCUGCAUGUGGGGCGUUGGAAAGUUUCGGCGGUUGGGGAUGGACUCGCGGCUUAUCAGCUUGUUGGUGGGGUAGUGGCUUACCAAGGCUUCGACGGGUAGCCGGCCUGAGAGGGUGACCGGCCACAUUGGGCCUGAGAUACGGACCAGAAUCCUACGGGAGGCAGCAGUGGGGAAUAUUGCACAAUGGGCGGAAGCCUGAUGCAGCAACGCCGCGUGCGGGAUGACGGCCUUCGGGUUGUAAACCGCUUUCGCCUGUGACGAAGCGUGAGUGACGGUAAUGGGUAAAGAAGCACCGGCUAACUACGUG